rnacentral:rRNA from 1 species
AAUGUCUGGAUGGAGCACGCCGCGUGAGUGAAGAAGGGUUUCGGCUCGUAAAACUCUGUUGUUAAAGAAGAACAUAUCUGAGAGUAACUGUUCAGGUAUUGACGGUAUUUAACCAGAAAGCCACGGCUAACUACGUGCCAGCAGCCGCGGUAAUACGUAGGUGGCAAGCGUUGUCCGGAUUUAUUGGGCGUAAAGCGAGCGCAGGCGGUUUUUUAAGUCUGAUGUGAAAGCCUUCGGCUCAACCGAAGAAGUGCAUCGGAAACUGGGAAACUUGAGUGCAGAAGAGGACAGUGGAACUCCAUGUGUAGCGGUGAAAUGCGUAGAUAUAUGGAAGAACACCAGUGGCGAAGGCGGCUGUCUGGUCUGUAACUGACGCUGAGGCUCGAAAGUAUGGGUAGCAAACAGGAUUAGAUACCCCCAGUAGUCAA